rnacentral:misc_RNA from 1 species
GAUGAAGAACGCAGCGAAAUGCGAUAAGUAAUGUGAAUUGCAGAAUUCAGUGAAUCAUCGAAUCUUUGAACGCACAUUGCGCCCGCCAGUAUUCUGGCGGGCAUGCCUGUCUGAGCGUCAUUUCAACCCUCAUGCCCCUAGGGCGUGGUGUUGGGGAUCGGCCAAAGCCCGCGAGGGACGGCCGGCCCCUAAAUCUAGUGGCGGACCCGUCGUGGCCUCCUCUGCGAAGUGGUGAUAUUCCGCAUCGGAGAGCGACGAGCCCCUGCCGUUAAACCCCCAACUUUCCAAGGUUGACCUCAGAUCAGGUAGGAAUACCCGCUGAACUUAAGCAUAUCAAUAAGCGGAGGA